UCCACGGCGUCGUUCACUGACAUCAGUAACGACUUUGCUAGCACAUCUAAAAGCGCUACAAUAUUAAAUUUCAACAAAUUAUAAAUGUAUCAGCUAUCAGCUAUUAUUAACGUAUUAUGUGGUAAUAUAUAAAGUUCAAAGAUGUUAAAGAUCUGAUUUUAAAAUCAGUCCACGCGCAGAGUCGCAAAAGCAUGAAGAUAUAAUCGAUGUACCUCGAUAGCAUGCAUAUUCUCGUUACCAUUUUAGCCGAUGAAAUUCGAUUAGGUGAUGAUAUACCAGGUCCCGGACAAAUUGGAUUGUUGACAAUGCGGUCUGUCAUCGUGCACGGUUUAUUAGCCAAAUCGAUUUUAUCUUUCUCUUAUAGAUUGAAACGAUUUGGAAUUUGAUAGAAAAAAAGAAAACAGAUCUUCUUUAGUUUGGAAUACUGGAAACACCAUUAUUCUUUCUCAUUUUUCUUGUUUAAUGAAAAAACAUGUGAGAAGGAAUUGCACAAAAGUUACAUGAUAAAACAAAUAGAAAAAAAAAAAAACAUGAAAUUUUUCUUUUGUGAAAUAUAUGUGUUUUAAAAUCUUAAUAUAAUAUUUUAUAUAGUAAUAAGAAAAAAAUAUUACAAAAUGCCAAGAUUUUGGAGCAUCAGGGCUGUCAUGUCAGCUUUUUGACGUGCGGUAUCGUAACGUCGAGAAUCAAGUGCUACGGCAGCUGGUAAAGAUUUAAAACCAGCUGUCGUGGCACAAUCUUCACCCAAUGAUCCGGUUGAUGCCGCUUCUAUCACGUCCAGAGCUUCUUCGAUACCCGCCUUCGAAAUAGAACAGGAUUCUAAGGAUUAAUUUUGGAGAAUAGUAAAGUGAUAUUUUACCCUUUUCAUAUCGAGAAUCUCCGUGCUGGUAAUCGUAGAGAAGGACGGUACCGAGGUCGAGGUAGCCGUCGUUACAGUGAUGUACGCCAUCAUCGUCAUCGUCGCAGGAAACAGGGCCCAAAGCCAAGAUUUGCCCAUCCCGCGUACUGCUCAUUUGUACUUUGAAAUAAAUUGGCAGCAAGUUUGAGCCCCGGAUCCAUGGGGCGUUCAUCCACCCCCUCUGAUGCCCUCGACAUUCUUCUCAAGGAUUUUCUUGAUCCUCUUUGAUCACUUCACUCACUUUUGUUCAAU